UCGUCCCCUUGGCCCCAGAGCCCUCAGAUAAGGUCACUAAACCACCGUCCACCACCACUGGAAGGAUAGGAAUAGGAUCCUCUGGAUUCUGCUAUCUACACCACUCAUUUCCCUUCUCAGGAUAAUAUUAUCUACAGCAACAUAGUUGCAGGGUCUUUUUGAAAGGGGUCUAUUCCUGGCUGAAUUAUCUGGCCCUCUCCAGCCCACAGAACACAAGAAAAAGAGACUUGAGAAGAUGUUGUGAAGAACUUUUGCAGUAACACCACUGGACCAACAAGAAAAGAUACACCGAGGUUUAGGAGGAGAAUG
rnacentral:lncRNA from 1 species